rnacentral:rRNA from 1 species
CUCAGUAACACGUGGAUAACUUACCCUUAGGACUGGAAUAACCCCGGGAAACUGGGGAUAAUACCAGAUAAGCCAUAGACGCUGGAAUGCCCUAUGGUUCAAAGCUCCGGCGCCUAAGGAUGGAUCUGCGGUCUAUCAGGUUGUAGUGGGUGUAACGUACCUACUAGCCGACGACGGAUACGGGUUGUGAGAGCAAGAGCCCGGAGAUGGAUUCUGAGACACGAAUCCGGGCCCUACGGGGUGCAGCAGGCGCGAACACUUUACAAUGCGGGAAACCGCGAUAAGGGAACCCCGAGUGCCAGCAUCAAAUGUUGGCUGUCCAGAUGGUUAAAAAUCAUUUGUUAGCAAGGGCCGGGCAAGACCGGUGCCAGCCGCCGCGGUAACACCGGCGGCCCGAGUGGUAGCCGUUUUUAUUGGGUCUAAAGGGUCCGUAGCCGGCCUGAUAAGUCCUUUGGGAAAUCUGACAGCUUAACUGUCAGGCUUCUAAGGGAUACUGUCAGGCUUGGGACCGGAAGAGGUAAGGGGUACUCCAGGGGUAGGAGUGAAAUCUUGUAAUCCCUGGGGGACCAUCUGUGGCGAAGGCGCCUUACCAGAACGGGUCCGACGGUGAGGGACGAAAGCUAGGGGAGCAAACCGGAUUAGAUACCCGGGUAGUCCUAGCUGUAAACGAUGCUCGCUAGGUGUCAGACACGGUGCGACCGUGUUUGGUGCCGCAGGGAAGCCGUUAGGCGCCACCUGGGAAGUACGGUCGCAAGGCUGAACUAAAG